UACAGAGGGUGCGAGCGUUAAUCGGAAUUACUGGGCGUAAAGCGCACGUAGGUGGCGACGUAAGUCGGGUGUGAAAGCCCCGGGCUCAACCUGGGAAUUGCAUUCGAGACUGCAUUGCUGGAGUACGGAAGAGGAGGGCGGAAUUCCCGGUGUAGCGGUGAAAUGCGCAGAUAUCAGGAGGAACACCCGUGGCUAAGGCGGCUCUCUAGUACGGUACUGACGCUGAGACGCGAAAGCGUGGGGAGCGAACAGG
rnacentral:rRNA from 1 species